rnacentral:rRNA from 1 species
AAUCAACGCUGGCGGCGUGCCUCAGACAUGCAAGUCGAACGAUUAAACUUUCCUUCGGGAAAGAUAUAAAGUGGCGCACGGGUGAGUAACACGUAGAUAAUGUACCUUUGGGUGGGGAAUAACAGUCGGAAACGACUGCUAAUACCGCAUAAUGCAGCGGCAUCGCAAGAUGACAAUUGUUAAAGCGAGCAAUCGCGCCUAAAGAGCAGUCUGCGGCAGAUUAGGUAGUUGGUAAGGUAAUGGCUUACCAAGCCUGCGAUCUGUAACCGACCUGAGAGGGUGGUCGGUCACACUGACACUGAAUAACGGGUCAGACUCCUACGGGAGGCAGCAGUCGGG